UCCCUGAUAGCUCAGUUGGUAGAGCAACGGACUGUUAAUCCGUUUGUCCCUGGUUCGAGUCCAGGUCGGGGAGCCA
rnacentral:tRNA from 3 species